UUCACUAAAACGCAGUCUACAAAACCUUGGGAGCAUUACGCACGAUCUCACGUGUGGUCAAAAGGUUGCGGAAAACUGGCGCAUUUUUACGCAUGGAAAUUCUUUAUAAAUCCCGACUUUUGCGAGGAAUGUUGCAACGGCAAAUUUCACCCUGCUUCUCGCAACUUUUUCUUGCGUAACAGGUUUUAUAAAUGAGGCCCCUGGUUAUAUCCAGCUGACAACAG